AGUGAUUUGUCUGGUUAAUUCCGUUAACGAACGAGACCUUAACCUACUAACUAGUACGACGUGACGAACGUUAGUUACUUCUUAGAGGGACAAUGUGUAUUUUUUAACUACAAGGAAGUUUAAGGCAAUAACAGGUCUGUGAUGCCCUUAGAUGUCCUGAGCCGCACACGCGCUACAAUGACACUUUCAAUAAGUUUUUGCUGGUCCGACAGGAUUUCGGCUAAUCUUUUUAGUAAGUGUCGUGCUAGGGAUAGAUCUUUGCAAUUGUGGAUCUUGAACGAGGAAUUCCUAGUAAGCACAAGUCAUCAGCUUGUGCUGAUUACGUCCCUGCAAAAUGUACACAUCGCCCGUCGCUUGCUCCGAUUGAGUAAUCUGGUGAGCCUUCUUGACUGAGUAAGUAAUUACGAAGAAAAUUAAGCAAACCAUAUUACUUAGAGGAUGAAGAAGUCGU
rnacentral:rRNA from 1 species